rnacentral:tRNA from 6 species
GCGCCUGUAGCUCAGUCGGAUAGAGCAACUGCCUUCUAAGCAGUAGGUCGCAGGUUCGAUUCCUGCCAGGCGCA